rnacentral:rRNA from 1 species
AGAGUUUGAUCAUGGCUCAGGAUGAACGCUGGCGGCGUGCCUAACACAUGCAAGUCGAGCGAUUUACUUCGGUAAAGAGCGGCGGACGGGUGAGUAACGCGUGGGUAACCUGCCCUGUACACACGGAUAACAUACCGAAAGGUAUGCUAAUACGAGAUAAUAUACUUUUAUCGCAUGGUAGAAGUAUCAAAGCUUUUGCGGUACAGGAUGGACCCGCGUCUGAUUAGCUAGUUGGUAAGGUAACGGCUUACCAAGGCGACGAUCAGUAGCCGACCAGAGAGGGUGAUCGGCCACAUUGGAACUGAGACACGGUCCAAACUCCUACGGGAGGCAGCAGUGGGGAAUAUUGCACAAUGGGCGAAAGCCUGAUGCAGCAACGCCGCGUGAGCGAUGAAGGCCUUCGGGUCGUAAAGCUCUGUCCUCAAGGAAGAUAAUGACGGUACUUGAGGAGGAAGCCCCGGCUAACUACGUGCCAGCAGCCGCGGUAAUACGUAGGGGGCUAGCGUUAUCCGGAAUUACUGGGCGUAAAGGGUGCGUAGGUGGUUUCUUAAGUCAGAGGUGAAAGGCUACGGCUCAACCGUAGUAAGCCUUUGAAACUGGGAAACUUGAGUGCAGGAGAGGAGAGUGGAAUUCCUAGUGUAGCGGUGAAAUGCGUAGAUAUUAGGAGGAACACCAGUUGCGAAGGCGGCUCUCUGGACUGUAACUGACACUGAGGCACGAAAGCGUGGGGAGCAAACAGGAUUAGACACCCUGGUAGUCCACGCCGUAAACGAUGAGUACUAGCUGUCGGAGGUUACCCCCUUCGGUGGCGCAGCUAACGCAUUAAGUACUCCGCCUGGGAAGUACGCUCGCAAGAGUGAAACUCAAAGGAAUUGACGGGGACCCGCGCAAGUAGCGGAGCAUGUGGUUUAAUUCGAAGCAACGCGAAGAACCUUACCUAAGCUUGACAUCCUUUUGACCGAUGCCUAAUCGCAUCUUUCCCUUCGGGGACAGAAGUGACAGGUGGUGCAUGGUUGUCGUCAGCUCGUGUCGUGAGAUGUUGGGUUAAGUCCCGCAACGAGCGCAACCCUUGCCUUUAGUUGCCAGCAUUAAGUUGGGCACUCUAGAGGGACUGCCAGGGAUAACCUGGAGGAAGGUGGGGAUGACGUCAAAUCAUCAUGCCCCUUAUGCUUAGGGCUACACACGUGCUACAAUGGGUGGUACAGAGGGCAGCCAAGUCGUGAGGCGGAGCUAAUCCCUUAAAGCCAUUCUCAGUUCGGAUUGUAGGCUGAAACUCGCCUACAUGAAGCUGGAGUUACUAGUAAUCGCAGAUCAGAAUGCUGCGGUGAAUGCGUUCCCGGGUCUUGUACACACCGCCCGUCACACCACGGGAGUUGGGGGCGCCCGAAGCCGGAUUGCUAACCUUUUGGAAGCGUCCGUCGAAGGUGAAAUCAAUAACUGGGGUGAAGUCGUAACAAGGUA